CUUUUAAAAAUGUAAAUGUGAUGAGAAGCCAUCUCAGUCUACUGGCACUGUGCUUCAGAAAGAUAAUUUUAUGUUUUCAAGAUCUUUAUUCCAGGAGAGGAAUGUACAUGAAAAAUUGUUUAACAAUCUAAUCUACCGAGUCAUUUCCAUAAGAAUUUGAUGGCAGUGACUGGGAUGUUUCACAUGGAGCAAAGAGACAUUCAUAUUCUGUAAAAAACAAAGGUGACUGGAAGUUGCCCUGAGAAAACCUAAUGCAGAACUCAAGAAGCUGCAAAUACGUCUGGGUCAUACAUCUAUCAAAAGCAAGUGAAAUCCGAAGAACUUACAGUGCGUUGGUAAGCAGAGCUGCAGAGAUCUGAAAAUAAUCGCAAUGUAGCCAUUAUGCGCACCGUAAUUGUGGCAUAUCACUGCACAGGCUUUGAGUUACAGCACUGAACUGAAUGGGGCAAGACAUUGCCAUGUUGCUUACAUGGCAAUUCCUGGUGCCUGGUGGACUCCAACUUACUGCAAAGUGCCUCUCAAGCUCUUCAUCAAAGACCUCCAUACUUCAGAGAGGGGUUUUGAAGAAGGAAGAUGCACAGCCUUGAUGUGAAGAGGACUUUCGAUGGUUCCCAGGAAUCCUGCCCAUAACAUCAGUUCUCACAACUGACCACACUGCGUGGAGGCAGCCUUGAGGAUGAAUGAGCAUGCUUCACUCAAGCUGCAUGGACUGAACAGGACCCUUCUCCCGGGUGAUUCUCCCAGCACCUCUGGCUACCAGAGUGGCACAGAAGCUGCACAAGGAGAUUGUUGUCUCCAUCUUGCAUACGCCUUAUGAAAGUGUGAUAAUAACAACUCACUUUACAGGAAUGUUUUAAGUACGCUUAUGUGGGUGCAUGAGUGAGUAUGUGUAUAUGUGCAGAAAGACAGGAUGGAUCAGUCUCUUUGAAGUGCUCAUUCUCUCAAGCAAGCCUAGUAAAAACAACAGAACAAACAAUCAAGUAGCCACCGACUAAAUCAACAUGGCUGAACAUAUCCAUGCAAAAAUAAUAUUUGAGCACAUAAUUAAAUUGUAGCAUAAUAUCCAGAUGUAAGGGGAGUUGAACUAAAGCUGAAUGGUCCAUCUCAUUUCUACCAUUUCCUAAUUUUUGAGGGCUUGACUUUGCAGUCUCAGUAUUUCUUUAGUGUUUUCUCAUUUGAAAUAAAUUAUUUGCUUCCGUAACAUUCUGUAGAUGAUUCAUGGCAACAGACCCAUCGUCUCUGUAUUUGUACUCAACAUGUUGCUACAAGUGCUAGUUACAGGCAGCACUCAUUGUCUUGUAUGUUACACAUUUACUUAAAGGUCAAAACAGAAGGGAGAGCAUUAUAAUGGCCUGGCUGGUUGAUGUCAGAUUUUAUACUUUGCAGCUUCAUUAGAUGGCAUUACAUCACAGGAUACAGUCAAGCAAAGCCUGAAUUGAUCCUACUUGACUGAAUUCUAAAUGAAUGGAAAAUGACUACCUGGUUUGCCAAGGAACAGCAAUAAUGGCAUGACAAAUCUGUGAUUUCUAUGAAGAUUUAUUUCUUCAUAGCACUUCUUUUCAGUUUAUGUGUUUCAGCUGUGGUCAUGGAAUU